AACGCACGAGACCUGCGGACCUGCGGAGGGAUCAUUACCGAGUGAGGGCCCUCUGGGUCCAACCUCCCACCCGUGUUUAUCGUACCUUGUUGCUUCGGCGGGCCCGCCUCACGGCCGCCGGGGGGCACCUGCCCCCGGGCCCGCGCCCGCCGAAGACAUCAUUGAACUCUGUCUGAAGAUUGCAGUCUGAGUAGAUUAGCUAAAUCAGUUAAAACUUUCAACAACGGAUCUCUAGAUCGG
rnacentral:misc_RNA from 1 species